rnacentral:rRNA from 1 species
GAUGAACGCUGGCGGCGUGCCUAAUACAUGCAAGUCGAGCGAACAGACGAGGAGCUUGCUCCUCUGACGUUAGCGGCGGACGGGUGAGUAACACGUGGAUAACCUACCUAUAAGACUGGGAUAACUUCGGGAAACCGGAGCUAAUACCGGAUAAUAUAUUGAACCGCAUUGUUCAAUAGUGAAAUACGGUUUUGCUGUCACUUAUAGAUGGAUCCGCGCCGCAUUAGCUAGUUGGUAAGGUAACGGCUUACCAAGGCGACGAUGCGUAGCCGACCUGCGAGGGUGAUCGGCCACACUGGAACUGAGACGCGGUCCAGACUCCUACGGUAGGCAGCAGUAGGGUAUCUUCCGCAGUGGGCGGAAGCCUUACGGAGCAACGCCGCGUGAGUGAUGAAGGUCUUCGGAGCGUAAAACUCUGUUACUAGGGAAGAACAAAUGUGUAAGUAACUAUACACGUCUUGACGGUACCUAAUCAAAAAGCCCCGGCUAACUACGUG